UCGAGUCUAAACAACUCCCAAACCCAUGUGAACUUACCACUUUGUUGCCUCGGCGGAGCAACUUACCCGGUACCUGUCUACCCGGCGGGCUCACCCGAUGCCUGCCGGCGGACCAUUAAACUCUUGUUUUUAUUUGACAUUCUGAAUUUUAAAACUUAAUAAGUUA
rnacentral:misc_RNA from 1 species